rnacentral:rRNA from 1 species
CUUAGUACGGCGAGUGAAGCGGUAAAAGCUCAAAUUUGAAAUCUGGUACUUUCAGUGCCCGAGUUGUAAUUUGUAGAAUUUGUCUUUGAUUAGGUCCUUGUCUAUGUUCCUUGGAACAGGACGUCAUAGAGGGUGAGAAUCCCGUUUGGCGAGGAUACCUUUUCUCUGUAAGACUUUUUCGAAGAGUCGAGUUGUUUGGGAAUGCAGCUCAAAGUGGGUGGUAAAUUCCAUCUAAAGCUAAAUAUUGGCGAGAGACCGAUAGCGAACAAGUACAGUGAUGGAAAGAUGAAAAGAACUUUGAAAAGAGAGUGAAAAAGUACGUGAAAUUGUUGAAAGGGAAGGGCAUUUGAUCAGACAUGGUGUUUUUUGCAUGCACUCGCCUCUCGUGGGCUUGGGCCUCUCAAAAAUUUCACUGGGCCAACAUCAAUUCUGGCAGCAGGAUAAAUCAUUAAGAAUGUAGCUACUUCGGUAGUGUUAUAGCUUUUUGGAAUACUGUUAGCCGGGAUUGAGGACUGCGCUUCGGCAAGGAUGUUGGCAUAAUGGUUAAAUGCCGCCCGUCUUGAAACACGGACC